UCAAUUAAUCGAACGAUUUUUUUUCCAUUUCGUUGGUUCGAAAAAGAGAAUGAAAAAAAUUCUUAAAUUCGAAAUCAACAUUUCAAUCUAUUAAUACUAAUUUCAAUCGAUUUUUUCAUCAUUCACUUUCAUGAUGAUGUUUCAACUCCACGACCUUGAAAAUUUUAAUCCAUAAGUGAAGAUGAGUGUAAGAACUUCAUCUCUUUUUCCCCCUUUAAGAGGAAGAAAAAUAAGUUCUGACGGAAAAAAAGAAAGAAAAUUAAAAUUCAUCAUUAGAUUUAUCAUGUUGAUUCGAGGGAAAAAAUUAAUUGCAAUUAAAUAUUGAUUAUGCUUCUUCCUGGUAGAUUUACAGUGGUUUUGGUAGGGAAGAGAUGAUGAUGAGAUGAAAAAGAAAAAGAAAAUAUAAGAAGAUAAGUUUAUCUUCAUGAGAAGAUGAGAAUCUAAAGUUAGCUACAAGAAGUAACGAGUUCUAAGUUCGAGUCUGUGUAAAAACUUUUUUUUCUUCUUUUCUUCUCUCUCAUGAUAAAAUCGAUAAAUGAACUUAUAUUAAUGUUUUAUAUUUAUAAACAUCGUCUAUUGAUGCGCACUCUUUUUGAAGGUCAAUAGGUCAAGGUAUAUCCUUUUCUCUCUCUCUUUAUCAUCAUCCAUAGAGACACAUAUUAGGUUACCAUGGAUACGAAUGCAUCAUCAGUGAGAGAGAAGAAGAGAGAGGGAUAGUGAGAAAAGGUGGGUGGAAAUCGUUAGGGUGUGUAGUAUUGAGAGAGAAUAAAAAAGAAAGAGUUAAAAAGAAGGAGCCUCUUCUCUCUCUCUCUCUCUCUCUCCAUCUCCAUCUCUCUCUUUACUUUUUAUCUUCUCUUUCUUUUUUGUGACAUUAGCCGAAGAGACAUCGUCGUCAUCAUCCUCCUCCUCAUCUUCAUCAUCUUUCCUGACGUUUCUGAUAAAAAGCAACUUUCUCGUAGCCAUUACUGGUAUUUCAAGUUCAACUACGUUUCAACUUGUAAUAAGAUGAUGAGGAUGAGAGAGAAUGAGAGAGAAUGAAAGAUGAUAAAAAAUGAUUAGAAGAUGAGAAAAUAACAUCUUUUCACCUUAACCCGAUCCUCUCUCUCUCCUUCAUCAUCUUUCAAUUUAUCAUCUAGUUCAUUUCUCUCUCUCUCUCUCUCUCUCUCUCUCUUUCUCUCUUCCGCUCCCCCAACUCUUUCCCUACUCAUUAUCAUCUUCUCACUCGACUCACUCUAUGGCGUAAACAAUAGGAUAAUGCGUAGAAAUGAUCAUUUGGUGCGUAGUUUGGUUUGAAAGUUGAUCAAGAAACUAAAUUAACAAUUUCUAAUCAACAGUCAACAACAAUCAACCAGCAAACAAAUUGUCAAAAUCAACUAUUUAAUUUUGUUUCUUUAAAUUUUAUCAAAAACAUUCACCAUCCAAAGUUAAUCAUAAUCAUCUAAUCAAAAUUUACUACCAACUUAACGUUCAAAAUAAAACAACAACAACAACAAUUAAAUUAAUCACCAUGAUCGCUGUCACCGUUGCCGCCGCUUAAUCAACAAAAAUAUGAAACAAUCAAUGAUAUAACAACAGUAUCAACAAUGAGAACAAUUAAAACUGAUCAACUUUUACCUUUAAUCAUCAUAUUUUUUUUUGUUUAAUUAUAUUUUUCUCGAUUCUCUUAACAAUUAACUCAAUUAUCGGGCCCUCUAAAAAUGGCUUUGAAACAAUUGAACAAAAACCAAUCAUGUUCAAACACUUGAUCAACAAUCAUCUCCUCAAUCAACCAUUGAAGUUAAUUUAAUCUGACGACAAUCAUGUAACAAUUAAUCAAGAUGAUGAUUAAUUAUGAAAUGAUGAAGAUGAAGAAGAAUAAUUAAGAAAAAAGCUAAUUGCUGUUAAUUGUUAAUUGUUGUGAAAUAAAUCACAACAUAUGUAAUCUGGUUUUCUUUUAAUUAAAUCUCGUUGAAUUUCAAACUGUUGAACAUGUUGAUUAAUAUAAUAUAAAUGAGACACUAAUUAUAACCGACAAUGGAAAGUUAAUUGUUAACAAUUAAAAGAAAUGGAAACUUAAUCAACAGCAAACGAAUCCACAAUAUUGAGGAGAGAAAAAAAUUAAUCAAAAAAUUAAUUUUCUAAAUUGUUUGGGAAAAAAAACUAAUCGACUCUCCACUAAUUGUUACUUUAAAAUCAAUCGGUAAUUAACUAAUUACUAAAUCAAACUGACAAUUCACUUAAAUAUCUCAUCAUUUAUAAUCUCUCUCUCUCUCCCUCUCUCCUCAUUUAUCUGAUCAUUAUUAACUAAUGAAAACAAUUAAAUUAACAAUUAACCACCUAAAUUGCUACACCAAAAUGAAAUUAAUUGUUGUUUGUUGAAAAGUUAAUCAAUGAUUAAAUCCAAUCAGUUUUUUUAUCAUCAAUCCUAUUGUUUUCAAUUGGUAUUUAUUUUAAUUGGUUUACAAUUGAUUCACUUGAUUAGUUAAUUGUAAAUUCAAUUGUGUCUUCUAGUUGUACUUGAUACAAUUGAGAGAAAUACAAAAGAGAGAGAGAGAGAGACAAUUAAUUAUCAUGAUUAGUCUCUUUCUUUUGUUUCUAUUAUUGAAAACUGAUCACCUAAACAAUUUACUAAUUAUUACAAAUCUCAACCUGACAAUCUAACCUUUGAUUCCCGGUUAGAGUUACCAAUUUAAUUGAGGUCAGUUAAUCAAUGAUAAUAUUAAUACACAAACAAUUAGGGCUAUUGUUUUAAUUUACCUCCUUGUUUUGUCAGUGAUUACCUAUCAAUGGAUAAUUAAUUGUUGUAAUUAACACACAAUAGCAAUUAAACUAAUAAAAAAACGCCUCCCACUUAAUUGAAACCAAAUUCGGAUAAAAAAUAAGUAAACCUCUUAUUCAAUCAUCAAGUUAAUUGUUACUAUUAAUUAUUAUGCCAACGCCUCACAAUCAAUGAUAACAACUAAAUCCCAGAUGAUUGUCAAGUCUAGUGAUGAUUAGGAAGGGAGCUGAUGAUGAGGAAGAUGAAGAUUACCUGAUUAAUUGCUAUUGUUUCAAUUUCUUCAAUUGAAACAAAUGAUGAGAAAAAAAAACCACCCACAAGAAAAUGAUUCCAAUUUCUCUUUCUUUUUGUCUUUCUUUCCAAUGAUGAUGAGGAUGAUUUUAUCUCUCUCUCUCUCUUGUCUCUCUCAUUUUCUCUCUCAUCAAUUAGUAUAUAAGGUUAAUUGUCUCUGUUAAUUCUUGUUCCCGAUUAGUGUUAAUUUCAAUUCUGUUGUAUCAUGUAAAUGAUUUUCUUUCUCAAAUGAGUUUCUAUUCAAAUGAUUAGUGAGUUGAUUGUUGUGUUUGUGUCCAAAUGUGUUAAUUGUCAUCAAUUAAUUGUGAUAAUUAAAAGCAACUGAUUCCAAGUCAAUACUUUUGUAAUUGUGAAGGAAAACAAUCUGUUGAUUGGAUUAGUGGCAACAAUCAAAUGUGUGUUUAUCCAUUUGAGAGGAGAGAUGAUGAUAAAUAAAAGAAAGAGAAGACUAAACUUUUCUUCUCUCUCUUUUUAUCAUCUCUUUCUCUUCAUUCUGGUUACCUGAUUAUUUUCCUGGUACAAAAUGAUCAACACUUUUUCUGAGUCUCAUUUUCUGUGCUGUGUUUAUUUACCAUCGGUGUUUGUUUUCCUAAAUUAUUACGACUCUGGUUAAAUUCUGGUUGAAUUCUGGUUGAAUUCUGGUUAAUUUUCUGGUUUCUCUCUCUCUCUCUUUUCUUUCUUUGGAAAUCUCCCUCUUUCUCUCUCUCUCUCUUAUUUCUACAGAGCAGUUGCUCAGUUCAUCAUGAACUGAACAUAAUGACAAUGAUGAAACGUCUUGAAUUGGUAAACCACUUACCUAAUAACCUUUGACAUUUUAUUUUCCAUUUAUAGACAAAAAGAUGAGGAUGAUUAGGAUGACAUUUACCUUUCCUGUCUCUGUCUCUGUCUCUCUUUAUCUUCCACCCACAGACCAUCAUCAUCUAUCAUAUGUCUAUCCUCCCCUUUUCCUCUUCCUCUUUUCCCUCAUUGUUUUAAUAUCAAACCAUAAACAGUAAACUAUUGUUUCUAAUCUGAUCAUCCAUUUAUCAUCAUCUCUCUCUCACCUUAUCGAUUCCACUUAAAAAAAUCUCCCAUAGAAAAUCAAUGAUUACGUUAAAUCGUUACAACGAAAUAUGUUAAUAGAAAGUGGAAGGUUAUAAAAGAUAAAUUUUCCAAUUCAAAUUAGCCCAUAAAUCUUGCGAUUAAAAUUCAAGACGUUUCCCUAAUCCUCUCAUCUUCUCUCUCCUCCUCCCUCCCUCUCUCACCUUCGACCUAUUCUCAUGAUGAAACCCACUCUCUCUCUCUCUCUCUCUGAUUCUCCUUCCACCUCCUUUGACCUUUCCCUCCACUUGAAUCCAAAAACAAUACUAACAAUGCAACAUCUUCGGUCACUGGAAUCGCCAAUUAAAUUAUUGUUGUUUCGUUGAUUAUAAUGAUUAAGUUGAUGAUGAUAUUUAAUUGUAACAAUUUAAAUGGAAAUGGUUUGCUGGAUACCACGCUGGGCUCACAUCUUAAUUGUUAAUAUACUGGGUGAACACAGCUGGUGGUAUCUCAGUUAACCUUUCUCACAUAGCCCCUGAUACAUUUGAUUAUCCGAAAGUUAAUUAUCACAAUUAAGCAAAAGAAAAACAAUUUCAAAACAAAGAGAAAAGUUUAAUUUCCAUUAAUGAACCAAAAAAAAAACAAAAAGUUUUCAGGUAAACAAGAAUAAGAAUAAGUAAAACUAUCAAAUUCGUAACCAAAGUAACUGAAAAACGUUUUCGUUUGCAAAGUUUUCUCGUUAAUCACCAACGAUACAAAAUCUCAAUUCAACUUGUUGCUUCUUUCGCCCUAAUUAACAAUCAAUUUCCACCUUAAUCUACUUUUUCCCUCUCCACCCUUACCUUGAAUUCACCACCAUCACCAUCAUGUUGCUAAUUAACUUAAUUCUCCACUGAUUGCAAAGAUUGUGCUCUAAUUGUCUACCAUCAUCCUUACCCUCAAUAUCAUUGAAUGUUUUUCAUUUCCCAAUCACUACAAUUUACUAAUUUCCUUGGUAAAUAUGAUUAUCUUUAUCACAAUUAACUUCUCCAUUGUUUCCCAAUCAUAACGAUCUUAAUUGUUUGUUUUCACCAUUGAUUACAAUUAUCUCUCCAUGUCCUUGUUGAUCAUAUUGUUACGAUUAAGCUUUUGGCCUUUACCUUUCUAACUGUUUUUUUUCAAACAAUUAACUGAUUACGUUUUAAUUUACUUCCCUUUUUUUUAAUUGUUUGUUUCCAAUGAUUGUUAAAUUUUUGUUUCUCUCAUUUUUUUUUCUUUGUAUUUCCUGUUUCCUGUUUCCAAUCUUUAUCAUAUUUGUUUAUUUGUCUAUUUGAUUUAAUUUACCAACAAUUAGUUUCCAUUGAUUAUCAAUUGAUUUACUUUUUGUCCUUUUUGUAGUUAUAAUUGUAAUGGUAACAAUCACAUACAUACACAAAACUUGAUUAAUUGUAAUUGUUUUGUUGAUUUAGUUUGUUCAUGUUGAUUCAGUGAAUUGAGUUGUUGCCUUGACGUCAAGUUCAUGAAUUGAUUGUUGUUGAUUUUGUAUUGAAUUGUGAUCAUUUCAAUUUGAUUGUUGAUCAUCAUCUCAGGAGGAAAAAAAAUUAAAUUAAAGGAUUAGGGGGGAGAAAAACCUUGACAAUCAAAACAAUUAAAGUCCAACAAUCAAUCCUUUCAAAUGUUACCAUUGAUUACUAAACAAUUAGUUAAUUUUUCCUGGUUUAAAGGAUAUGCACUUUCAAUUAGAUUGUUCUGAUUAUAUUUUACUCGAUAAUAAAAUAGUAAUAGUAAAGUGAAAGAGGUAACAAAAAACAAACUCGAAACUUUUUCUCGAAUUUCUUUUAUCUCAUUUGAAGUUCGAGAAAAAAAAAGUUCUGAGUUACCAUGGUAACUCUAACCUUCGUCAUAGAUAUUAACAAGCAUCGAAAUGUUUUUUUACCUCAAGUCCAUUAUGAGGAUGAUUAUAUCAGAUUUUGAGUGGGUGGUUAAUAUUGAGAUUGGAAGAGAGAGAGAGAGAGAGAGAGAGAGAGAGAGAGAUGAGAUGAUGAUGAUGCUGAAGAUGAUGAGCAAGACAUCUAAAGGUAAAUAUGAUGAAGAAACUGAUGAUGAUGAUUGCGUUUGAGCUGAAAAGGAAAACCUUGAUCAGAAUGAGAUAGAAUUGACAUUUCACCUUUUCCAUUGAAGAUAAUCCAGAACUUACCAUGUAAACGAUGAUGAUGAUGAUCAUGAGACGAAAAGAUCACAUGAUGAUUGAAUUAUAUGUGAUGAUUUGGAGUGUAUGUUAAUUGGAUGAAGAAAAAAACAAAAGAAAAGUUGUGAGUUCAAAGUUCUGAGUCGAAUUGAUUUUUACAUGAUAAACAUUGUUUUUCUUAUAUUACUUUUACUUUUUCUGCUUCUAUGACGUUACAACUUUUUCUUUCACUUGUUGACAUGAUCAUCAUCCAGUUAUAUAAUGAAAUUAUCAUCGUUAUCAUGAUGUUUCAUGAUGAUGAUUCUGAACAUGAAAAAAAGAAAAUGUUUAGAAAUUAAACUUUCGUUGGCAACAAUAUUCACUUUCUCGUUAUAACCUAUUCGUCCUUUAAAAGUCCUUGACAAUUUAGUAAACAUAAUUAUAUUCAUCAUCAUUAUCAUCAUCAAACUGAGAAUGAUAAUAAUUAACUGAUCACAAUUAACUUGUUUCGAUUAUCAGAAUUUGAUAGAAUCAAAGUGAACGAAAAAACUUUUUCUUCUCUCGAUAAAAGUUUUUUUCUUUCCUGUUUCUUGUUUCUCGUUGUUGUUGUUGUCGUCGUAACAAUUAACUAAUUGUUCUAGUUGAUUGGUUAACUUUUCUACUAUCUGAUUGUCCUUUGAUUGUCCUACUUUUCUUUAUUGCUGCUUGUCUAUUUGCUUUUGUCAUCAUCAUUACUAAUUAACUAACACAAUUAACUUUAAUCUUUCAGACUAACUUUAUGCAAUCAAUUUGAUUCGUUUGCCUGUUAACCAUUUCCAUCUCCAAACAAUUAACUUAAUCAUCACAAUUUACUUUACCAACUACUAACAAUGUUAAUUAAUUACGUCUCAAAAAUGCGUUUUACAAUAGAAUCAAAUUUAAUUACAAUUAUGUAAAUGCAUUAGUUUGGGGCGCAAUCCAUUGACAUUUUAAUCAACAAUCAAUUCAACAGUUUCCAAUCAACGGGUUUAAUCAAAAUCGAUCAACAAUUAACUUUAAUUGUCACCAAUUUAAUAAUAAUCUAAUCUUAAUACAUUAUUUGUCUUUACAAUUGAAUAAAUAAAUUAUUACCUUCUAGAUUUA